ACAGCUAGCUUUGGAAUUCUUCUGCAGCCAGGGCUGGAUUAAGGCUGAGUUCAAGAGGGCGUGAAACCGUUAAGAGGUAAACAGGUGGGAUCCGCGCAGCCCAUGGACAGUGUGAGGCUGGUAGCGGCCCCCGGUGCACCGGGACCGGGUCUUCUUGGAGUCGGGUUGCUUGGGAAUGCAGCCCAAAGUGGGUGGUAAACUCCAUCUAAGGCUAAAUACCGGCACAAGACCGAUAGUCAACUGGUCUCUUGUGG
rnacentral:ncRNA from 1 species